rnacentral:tRNA from 1 species
GAGGGCAUAGCUUAGUGGUAGAGUGUGUGCCUAGCAUGCACAGGGUCCAAGGUUCAAUCCCCAGUACCUCCA